rnacentral:tRNA from 1 species
AGGGAAAUAGCUCAGUGGUAGAGCACGUGCUUGGCAUGCACAAGGUCCUGCAUUCAAUCCCCCUGUCCCUC